rnacentral:rRNA from 1 species
CAGUUCACCGUCCCGGAUCUCCGCCCCGGCACGCUCGACUCCCUGCUCGCCCUCAGCGACGACCUCGUCAAGUCCAACAUCUUCAUCGAGGGCGUCUCCCACAAGAUCCGCCGGCAGAUCGAGGACCUGGAGCGCGCCGGAGGGGUCGAGCCCGGCACCCUCACCGUCGACGGCGUCCCCGUCGACAGCUACCUCACCAGGUUCGUGUGGGACGAGGGCAAGUACCCCGUCAAUGCCCCGCUCAAGGAGACCGUCGCCAGCAUCCAGUCCCAGGUCGCCAAGAUCGAGGACGACAUGAAGGUUAGAGUUGCUGAAUACGGUAAUGUUAAGAGCCAGCUUGGCGCAAUCAACAGGAAGCAAACUGGGAGUUUAGCAGUUCGUGACCUUUCCAACCUCAUAAAGCCAGAUGAUAUGGUCACUUCGGAACAUCUAGUGACACUCCUUUCUAUUGUGCCAAAGUAUUCCCAAAAAGAUUGGUUAUCAAGCUACGAGUCACUUGAUACGUUUGUGGUUCCGAGAUCAUCAAAAAAGCUUUACGAGGACAAUGAGUAUGCUCUCUACACUGUAACAUUAUUUGCCAAGGUUGUUGACAACUUUAAGGUCCAUGCUCGUGAGAAAGGUUUCCAGAUCCAUGACUUUGAGUAUAGUCCUGAAGCAUAG